CAGCCGCCGCGGUAAUACGUAGGGUGCAAGCGUUAAUUGGAAUUACUGGGCGUAAAGCGUGCGCAGGCGGUUAUAUAAGACAGAUGUGAAAUCCCCGGGCUCAACCUGGGAACUGCAUUUGUGACUGUAUAGCUAGAGUACGGCAGAGGGGGAUGGAAUUCCGCGUGUAGCAGUGAAAUGCGUAGAUAUGCGGAGGAACACCGAUGGCGAAGGCAAUCCCCUGGGCCUGUACUGACGCUCAUGCACGAAAGCGUGGGGAGCAAACAGGAUUAGAUACCCCCGUAGUCCCUGUCUCUUAUAC
rnacentral:rRNA from 1 species